AACGAACGCUGGCGGCGUGCCUAACACAUGCAAGUCGAACGGAGGUAGAGAGCUUGCUCUUUACUUUAGUGGCGCACGGGUGAGUAACGCGUGGAUAAUCUGCCUGAUACUCUGGGAUAACAUCUCGAAAGGGGUGCUAAUACCGGAUAAGCCCACGGGCUCUUCGGAGCUUGCGGGAAAAGGAGGGGACCUUCGGGCCUUCCGAUAUCAGAUGAGUCCGCGUCCCAUUAGCUAGUUGGUAGGGUAAAGGCCUACCAAGGCGACGAUGGGUGGCUGGUCUGAGAGGAUGAUCAGCGACACUGGAACUGAGAAACGGUCCAGACUCCUACGGGAGGCAGCAGUGGGGAAUUUUGCGCAAUGGGGGAAACCCUGACGCAGCAACGCCGCGUGAGUGAUGAAGGCCCUUGGGUCGUAAAGCUCUGUCAGAGGGAAAGAAAUGUGGGCGGCUAAUAUCCGUACCACUUGACGGUACCCUCAAAGGAAGCACCGGCUAACUCCGUGCCAGCAGCCGCCGUAACAC
rnacentral:rRNA from 1 species